rnacentral:rRNA from 1 species
AGAGGUUGAUCCUGGCUCAGAGUGAACGCUGGCGGCGUGCCUAACACAUGCAAGUCGAACGGUAACAGCUCUUUCGGGAGGCUGACGAGUGGCGCACGGGUGAGUAAGGUAUAGGUAUGUGCCCUUUAGACCGGGAUAGCCACUGGAAACGGUGAUUAAUACCGGAUAUCCCUGCGGGGGAAAGCUUUUGCGCUAAAGGAUCGGCCUAUAUUGUAUCAGCUAGUUGGUGAGGUAAGAGCUCACCAAGGCGAUGACACAUAGCGGGUUUGAGAGGAUGAUCCGCCACACUGGUACUGAGACACGGACCAGACUCCUACGGGAGGCAGCAGUGAGGAAUAUUGCACAAUGGGGGGAACCCUGAUGCAGCAACGCCGCGUGGAGGAUGACGCAUUUCGGUGUGUAAACUCCUUUUAACUGAGAAGAUAAUGACGGUAUCUGAUGAAUAAGCUCCGGCUAACUCCGUGCCAGCAGCCGCGGUAAUACGGAGGGAGCAAGCGUUAUUCGGAAUCACUGGGCGUAAAGGACGCGUAGGCGGGUUUUUAAGUCAGAUGUGAAAUCCUAUGGCUCAACCAUAGAACUGCAUUUGAAACUGGGAACCUAGAGUAUGGAAGGGGAAGAUGGAAUUAGUGGUGUAGGGGUAAAAUCCGUAGAUAUCACUAGGAAUACCGAAAGCGAAGGCGAUCUUCUGGGACAUAACUGACGCUGAGGCGUGAAAGGUNGGGGAGCAAACAGGAUUAGAUACCCUGGUAGUCCACGCCCUAAACGAUGAAUGCUAGUCGUCGGAGAGCUCGUCUCUUCGGUGAUGCACUUAACAGAUUAAGCAUUCCGCCUGGGGAGUACGGUCGCAAGAUUAAAACUCAAAGGAAUAGACGGGGACCCGCACAGGUGGUGGAGCAUGUGGUUUAAUUCGAAGAUACGCGAAGAACCUUACCUGGCCUUGACAUUGAUAGAAUCUUUCAGAGAUGAGAGAGUGCCUUUCGGGGAGCUAGAAAACAGGUGCUGCACGGCUGUCGUCAGCUCGUGUCGUGAGAUGUUGGGUUAAGUCCCGCAACGAGCGCAACCCUCGUCCUUAGUUGCUAACAGUUCGGCUGAGCACUCUAAGGAGACUGCCUUCGUAAGGAGGAGGAAGGUGAGGACGACGUCAAGUCAUCAUGGCCCUUACGGCCAGGGCUACACACGUGCUACAAUGGGGCGUACAGAGUGUUGCGAUACCGCGAGGUGGAGCUAAUCACUUAAAGCGUCUCUCAGUUCGGAUUGGAGUCUGCAACUCGACUCCAUGAAGCUGGAAUCACUAGUAAUCGUAGAUCAGCAAUGCUACGGUGAAUACGUUCCCGGGUCUUGUACUCACCGCCCGUCACACCAUGGGAGUUGAUUUCGCCCGAAGCGGGGAUGCUAAACUGGCUACCCUCUACGGCGGAAUUAGCGACUGGGGUGAAGUCGUAACAAGGUAACC